GACGAACGCUGGCGGCGUGCUUAACACAUGCAAGUCGAACGGAAAGGCCUGCUUUCCCUUGUGGAUUGCGGGUACUCGAGUAGCGAACGGGUGAGUAACACGUGAGUGAUCUGCCCCCAACUUGGGUAUAAGCCUGGGAAACUGGGUCUAAUUCCCGAUAGGACUGCAGGGUGGUGCCUGUGGUGGAAAACGAUUUUCUAGUGGUUGGGGAUGAGCUCGCGGCCUAUCAGCUUGUUGGUGGGGUAAUGGCCUACCAAGGCGGCGACGGGUAGCCGGCCUGAGAGGGUGGACGGCCACAUUGGGACUGAGAUACGGCCCAGACUCAUACGGGAGGCAGCAGUGGGGAAUAGUGCACAAUGGGCGGAAGCCUGAUGCAGCGACGCCGCGUGGGGGAUGACGGCAUUCGGGUUGUAAACUCCUUUCGACCGCGAGGAAGCCACCUGGUUGGAAGGGUGGUGACGGUAGUGGUAGAAGAAGCACCGGCUAACUACGUG
rnacentral:rRNA from 1 species